UCCGAGUUAGACCCGGCAGUCUCGCUAGACAUGGUAACUAGCGACGAGGGUUGCGCUCGUUGCGGGACUUAACCCAACACCUCACGGCACGAGCUGACGACAGCCAUGCAGCACCUGUAUAGGCUCCCUUGCGGGUCGGUCACCUUUCAGCUCCCUACCACCUAUAUGUCAAGCCCAGGUAAGGUUCUUCGCGUUGCAUCGAAUUAAUCCACAUGCUCCGCCGCUUGUGCGGGCCCCCGUCAAUUUCUUUGAGUUUUAGCCUUGCGGCCGUACUCCCCAGGCGGGGUACUUAAUGCGUUAGCUACGGCACGGACGGAGUCGACACCGCCCACACCUAGCACCCAUCGUUUACGGCGUGGACUAC
rnacentral:misc_RNA from 1 species